rnacentral:rRNA from 1 species
CGGAUCCUUCGGGAUUAGUGGCAGACGGGUGAGUAACGCGUGGGAAGCUACCUUGUGGUAGGGAACAACAGUUGGAAACGACUGCUAAUACCCUAUGAGCCCUAUGGGGGAAAGAUUUAUCGCCAUGAGAUGUGCCCGCGUUAGAUUAGCUAGUUGGUAAGGUAAUGGCUUACCAAGGCGACGAUCUAUAGCUGGUCUGAGAGGAUGAUCAGCCACACUGGGACUGAGACACGGCCCAGACUCCUACGGGAGGCAGCAGUGGGGAAUAUUGGACAAUGGGGGCAACCCUGAUCCAGCCAUGCCGCGUGAGUGAUGACGGCCUUAGGGUUGUAAAGCUCUUUCAGCAGUGAAGAUAAUGACAUUAACUGCAGAAGAAGCCCCGGCUAACUUCGUGCCAGCAGCCGCGGUAAUACGAAGGGGGCUAGCGUUGUUCGGAAUCACUGGGCGUAAAGCGUACGUAGGCGGACUGAUCAGUCAGGGGUGAAAUCCCGGGGCUCAACCCCGGAACUGCCUUUGAUACUGUCAGUCUUGAGAUCGAGAGAGGUGAGUGGAACUCCGAGUGUAGAGGUGAAAUUCGUAGAUAUUCGGAAGAACACCAGUGGCGAAGGCGGCUCACUGGCUCGAUACUGACGCUG